rnacentral:rRNA from 1 species
AGCGAACGCUGGCGGCAGGCUUAACACAUGCAAGUCGAACGCAUCCUUCGGGAUGAGUGGCAGACGGGUGAGUAACACGUGGGAACGUACCUUUUAGUUCGGAAUAACUCAGGGAAACUUGGGCUAAUACCGGAUACGCCCUUUGGGGGAAAGAUUUAUCGCUAAAAGAUCGGCCCGCGUCUGAUUAGCUAGUUGGUGUGGUAAUGGCGCACCAAGGCGACGAUCAGUAGCUGGUCUGAGAGGAUGAUCAGCCACACUGGGACUGAGACACGGCCCAGACUCCUACGGGAGGCAGCAGUGGGGAAUAUUGGACAAUGGGCGCAAGCCUGAUCCAGCCAUGCCGCGUGAGUGAUGAAGGCCCUAGGGUUGUAAAGCUCUUUCACCGGUGAAGAUAAUGACGGUAACCGGAGAAGAAGCCCCGGCUAACUUCGUGCCAGCCGCCGCCG